AAUGAACGUUGGCGGCGUGGAUUAGGCAUGCAAGUCGAGCGAGAACCCAGCAAUGGGGGACAGCGGCGCAAGGGACAGUAAUGUGUAGAUUAUCUGCCCUCGGGUCCGGGAUAGCUGCGGGAAACUGCAGGUAAUACCGGAUAACAUCUCCGGAUCAAAGGUGUAAUUCCGCCCGAGGGUGAGUCUGCAUCCGAUUAGUCAGUUGGCAGGGUAAUGGCAUACCAAGGCGAUGAUGGGUAGCGGGUGAGAGAGCACGACCCGCGUCAUUGGGACUGAGACACUGCCCAGACACCUACGGGUGGCUGCAGUCGAGAAUCUUCGGCAAUGGGCGCAAGCCUGACCGAGCGACGCCGCGUGUGGGAUGAAGGCCUUCGGGUUGUAUACCACUGUCAGAGGGGAUGAAAUGCAGGUGGGUUCUCCCAUCUGUUUGACAUAGCCUCAGAGGAAGGACGGGCUAAGUUCGUGCCAGCCGCCGCCGUAACAC
rnacentral:rRNA from 1 species